GUACGUACGUAAAUAUAUGUAUAUAUGUCUAUAGUUAGACAGGCCAGAGACUAUAGCGGAUUGUCUGUGCGCAUGCGCAGAUAUCUGUUUUCGCAGCAGCUGGUGAUUAGGUCAGUACCUACACGGCAAAUCACCAGAGUCUGCACGGCAAUAGUUUGCUUGUUUGUUUACAGUUUAGUAGUGGAUGUUAGUCCUGUUUCCUAUUCCUUUCCGACAAGUGUGUGGGUCACUGACGAACUGUGUCUAUCCCAUUGUAUGAACAUAAAGAUAAAGGGGCAGUACAAGAACAAGUCAGCAAGCAUCUCUGAGAGAAUUAACUAAAGUCAGAAAUGUCUGGAUUUACUGAACCAUCACAACCGCUCAUGUCAGUGAAGAAGGAGAUAAAAGAAGAAGAAUUUGAUGAUUUCCUACAAGAGUAUUUGUCUGCAAUUCAGACAGUGGAAGAAAAGCCUGGAAUGGAAUGUGAAAUCAAGACUGAAAUGUACAUGUCAACAACCAUGAAAGAAGAAGAGUAUGCACCAAUGGAAAUUACAGAUGAAGAAGAAUUUGAUUUAAGUGAAUAUAGUCACCAUGUCUCUUCUCCUACAAGUAAGUUGCUUGUUCAUCGUUCCGCUUAUGUAUAGUUACACUACUUGAAUUUUAGAGAAUGGCUAACUUGUGCUUCACAAUGCGAGACCUAUUCAGAGAACAGAGAUACUGUGGGAAUACCUUAUUUAUGGGAUACUAGCUGCAUUCUGUUACAUUUAAAAAAGAGAGUCUGUCAUAAUUUUUUUCUCUAGCUCUGCAAUUGAUAUAUGUGUAUAUCUAUUAACAUUUACAUAAAUUCUCUAGGUAGACACUUUUCUUAAGUCACUCCCAUGUGAUGUACAUUUCUAGCAAAUAACCAAUAUAUAAAAAUAAAUAUAAAAAAUAUGUAUCUUUUUUGUAGAAA
rnacentral:lncRNA from 1 species